rnacentral:rRNA from 1 species
GUGUCAGCAGCCGCGGUAAUACGUAGGGGGCUAGCGUUGUCCGGAAUCAUUGGGCGUAAAGAGCGUGUAGGCGGCCCGGUAAGUCCGCUGUAAAAGUCAAAGGCUCAACCUUUGAAUGUCAGUGGAUACUGCCGGGCUAGAGUCCGGAAGAGGCGAGUGGAACUCCUGGUGUAGCGGUGGAAUGCGCAGAUAUCAGGAAGAACACCAACGGCGAAGGCAGCUCGCUAGGACGGUACUGACGCUGAGACGCGAAAGCGUGGGGAGCGAACAGGAUUAGAUACCCUGGUAGUCC